rnacentral:rRNA from 1 species
GUAGAUCUGCUCAUGAUAAUUAAAUAGCCGCAAUACGUGCUAAGGUAGCAUAAUAACUCGUCUUCUAAUUAAGGACUAGAACAAAAGAUUUAACAUUUUAAAUUAUUUUACUAAUUAAUAUAUCAAAAUUUUCUUAGAUGUUAAAAGACAUUUAUUCUAAAGAAAGACGACAAGACCCUAUUGAACUUUACUUUAGUUAAACUGGGGCAGUUAUAUAAUUAUUAUUUUAAUAAAAUUAUUUUAUUAAAUAUCUAAUCAUAUUAAAUAAUUAAGUUACCAUAGGGAUAACAGCGUAAUUAUAAACUAAAGUUCUCAUAACAAUUAUAGAUUGCGACCUCGAUGUUGAAUUAUUAACCUAAAUAGGGCAAGACUUAAUUAAAGGAGGUCUGUUCGACCUUUAAAUAAAUACAUGAUCUGGUCCAAACCGGA